ACAUGAGCUGAAAUCAAGGGUUGGGUGUUGAACCAACUGAGCCACCCAGGUACCCCUGGAAUUGGUUUUUUAAAAUUUCAUUUUCUGAAUGAAAAUGCAUAUAGAAGUACAGUCGAAUUUUAUAUUGAACUUGUAUCCUGCAGCCUUGCUAAAUUCACUUGUUCUGGUAACUUUUUUGGAGAUGCUGUAAGAUUUUCAAUAUAGACUUCUGUUAUUUGUGAAUAAAGACCAUUUUACUUCCUUCUUUCCAAUCUAGAUGUCCUUUUUGUUGUUGUUGUUGUUGUUGUUGUUUUCCCCUUUUUCUUGCCUUAUUACAUUGACUGGAACCUCCUGACAAGACUGAAUAGAACAUAUCCUUGUCUUGUACCUGUUAGGGGGAAACAUGGAGCCAUUCACCAUCAAAUAUGAUGUUAGCCGUGGAUAUUGUCAAAACACUUUGUCAGACCAAGGAGGUUCUCUUCUGUUCCUAGUUUGCUCAAAGUUUUUAUCAGGAAGACAUGCCCAAUUUGGUCAAAUAUUUUUUCCAUAUCUUUUGGAACAAUCACAAGGCUUUUUCAUUUUUAGCCUCUUAAUAUGGCAAGUUACUUUGAUUUUUAAAAUGUUAUCUGCCACUCUCCCCCCUCCUCUGAUUUCUAGUUUUCUUUGGUAUCUUCUUUCCUGGGUUAGGCAUGAAGACUUUCCUUACCUUAAUUGUUCCAUUCCCCUCCUUCAAGCCGGCUGUCGUUUUCUGCCCAGGUCACCUGUAUACUUGCUAAUGGCCUGUUGCAUGGAAUCAGGCAUGGGCUGACUGCCCAGAAUUAACAGCUUAGGUCAGAAAUGAACCUGUGGCCAGGUGUUUAAUGGGUGCCCUGGCUUCCAUGCUGGGGAAACAGCAUAAUACCUACU